ACACCGUUGGUGAAACGGUAUCAUGCAUCGUUGCCAUUGGCGAACUUCGGUUCUCAACAAUUCGAUGCGGCAGGGGUUCGACUCCCCUACGGUGUA